UUUAAAUACAUUGUGUGUACCAGGUACUGGAGUCUACCAAUGUUUGACAAAUAUCUGUGAUUUUAAGGUACAAAAUACAACAAUAAUAGCUGGUGUGCUCACUGAUAACUACAAAGCAAUGAUAAUUCAUUGAUGCAAGACUUAAUAUUCAACACAACUUGAUUGAUUGAAUGUUUCAUACAGCCUCUAGCCGACGAAGCCGUAGCCUGGUUUGGCUGGGCCAGUGCUAGCUGCUAGUUAGGCCUAGCCUAGGCUAGGCUAGCUAGGACGGUGCCCUGAUGAUGCAGUGUUCGUAGAAAAGAACUUUAACAAAGACAUGAUGUUAGCAGAUAUAAUCAUCACAUUCUGCGAGGAUGCCGGAGACAUACUACAAAACUUAAGUAUGCUUACAGAUGACAGUAGGGUAAUCAAAAUGCGAUACUCUUAUUCAGAAGAGCAAGAUGGAUAUGGAGACGACAUUGCAGAUGGAUAUGGAGACGAAUGAUUCAACAAUAGAUCGUAGGACCAGGUGGACCCAUACCAAAGACCUAGACUAGGGACCAGCCUAACUACACAUGGCCCUGACACGACAAAACAACUCAUAAGUUGAUGUUUUGAGAAACCCUAGGAAAUAUUGACGGAAACUUC